UGCUGUUGUGGUGGUUGUUUACUGAUUCUUCCUGAUGCACUGAGACACAACAUAAAGAAAGCAAAGGGAUCACAGGAAGGGUGGUCUACAACAGGAAUGCUUAAAGAAAAAUUGAAGCUGUUCUCAUUAAAUCUACUAGCCUAAGAAGAAUGAGAAAUGGUCUUGUUCUACUAAUGAUUAAGAAUUCAAAGGAGAAAGAAGAAAAGGGUUAUGAAAUAUAAGACCCAAAUCUGAUGGAUCUGUGCUUUAAGGUUGGCACUCUAUUGCCAGAAGACUGAAUUAUAAUAGCAAUAAGAAAAUUAUCAGAAUUUUGGUAACUUGCACAGAUGGGAGAAGGCAAGGGAGAAUGGAUAAACUAUAUGCACAAUCUCUGAAAGACAGCACACCACUGAUGCAGAGGUUAAGUAUCAUCCUCAAUGCCACAGACAACAUAAGAAGAGCAGAAAAAACAAAACCUAUAUCUUAUACUUCCUGUUCUAACUUUAUAAUUUUAAAGCUGCCUCCCUUUCAAAAUCUCAUAAAAAGGCUAAAGAUACACAAUUUCAGCUAACAGUUCACAUGCCUUAAGAAAACACCAGUGAUAAAUUCCAAAGUUCAGAACACAAAUAUAAACUUUCUAAAAGCAUUAAAAAAAAAAAGAUGACAAUUGAAAUUGUAACAAAGCUGUCUUUGCACAUUUACUGGGCACUCAAUACUUUAUCCCUUCCAAUCCACCAUCUUCUUUUUUGGGAAAAAAAAAGUAAUGCAAAAGUGAGUGAUGAACAAAAACAACAGCCAUCUCCAUGGUAACACACAAUGUAUUGACAUCAACUGCCCACCUCUGGAAUUGGGGUGCUUCUCAUCGUUGGAGUCAAUAGAGCUGAGAAAAGGAAUUUGGAAGGAGCUUUGCAAGAUGCUACCACCUACUCUGUUUAAAAUCAACUAAGCUUGUUCUAGUUAGACAUUCUAUAAAACCUUUCUCAACUCAAAGAAGGGACUCAGAAAAAGAACUCCCCAGCUGGUUUCUGCUGAUAACUAGAAGCACCAGGAGAAAAACUAUAGCUGCGUCCUCAAGGAAUUCCUGACUACUAGCCAAAGCAACACCUUCUAGGGAGAUUAGCACUUUUUAAGAAAUCAUACCAUUUAUUCAUGCAAAAGGACAUACACUUUAGAUAUGCACUGCUAUUGUGUCUUCCUGUUUGGAAGAACUGUCUGUCUCAUGACAACAAUGAGAACAAAUGUAAAAUGAAUUCAAGACACAUUUCAUCUAAAUUUUUGAAGACCUU